CCUACGGGGGGCAGCAGUGGGGAAUAUUGCACAAUGGGGGAAACACUGAUGCAGCAAAGCCGCGUGAGGGAGGAAGUAUUACGGUAUGGAAAGCUCUAUCAGCAGGGAAUAGAAAAGAAGGUACCGUAAAAAGAAGCGCCGACUAACGACGUGCGAACAGCCGCGGUAAGACGUAGGGGGCAAGGUUUAUCCGGAUUUACUGGGUUUAAAGGGAGCGUAGACGGAAAGGCAAGUCAGACGUGAAAACCCCAGGCUCAACCAUGGGACUGGGUUUGAAACUGUCAAACUAGAGUACGGGAGAGGUAAGAGGAAUGCCUAGUGUAGCGGUGAAAUGCGUAGAUAUUAGGAGGAACACCAGUGGCGAAGGCGUCUUACUGGACCGAAACUGACGUUGAGGCUCGAAAGCGUGGGGAGCAAACAGGAUUAGAUACCCCUGUAGUC
rnacentral:rRNA from 1 species